ACACGGUGACCCAUGGCACUGCAGGGUGUCACAGGGCAGGGUGACCCCUGGCAAGCCAAGGUGGCACAGGGCAGGACACGGUGACCCAUGGCACUGCAAGGUGGUACAGGGCAGGGUGACCCCUGGCAAGCCAAGGUGGCACAGGGCAGGAC